GGGGAGGUCAUUUCACCUCUCUGAUCUCCAGUUUUCUCUUGUUCUCAUCUGACCUCUAGAGCUACACUGUCCAAUAUGGCGGCCACCAGCCACUUACGGCUCUUCAGCACUUGAAAUGCGGUGAGUUUUAAUUGCCAAAGGUUGCAAUGCAAAAUACUACGGGACUCUGAAGGAAUGUAUAUUGAAAUCACCGGAGAACUUUUAAGAAUAGACUCCCAGACUCCAGCCUGGACGUAUUGGCACUUAUAUCUUUUUAAACAGCUUUAUUGAGGUAUAACCGGACAUGUUUACUGUAUACAUUUUGAUGAGUUUGGAGAUAUGCAUACACCCGACAAACCAUCACCACAAUCAUGGAAAUAAA
rnacentral:lncRNA from 1 species